UACGUAGGGUGCAAGCGUUAUCCGGAAUUAUUGGGCGUAAAGAGCUCGUAGGCGGUUUGUCGCGUCUGCUGUGAAAACUGGAGGCUCAACCUCCAGCCUGCAGUGGGUACGGGCAGACUAGAGUGCGGUAGGGGAGAUUGGAAUUCCGGGUGUAGCGGAUGAAAUGCGUAGAUAUCCGGAGGAACACCGGUGGCGAAGGCGGCUUCCUGGACCGAUACUGACGCUGGAUGAUGCGAAAGCCUAGGGGAGCAAACGGG
rnacentral:rRNA from 1 species